GCUUUUCUUUCUGUCUGUGGACCCACCACUCACUUAUUAGAACAAGGACCUUAACGCUCGCUUCCUUUUCACAGUUUUGUAGGCUGCGGCACUAUAUAAAUCCUCUUGCAAUGGGCACUUUGCAUGCCUCAUCAAUUUCUCAUCUACUUCUUCGAGAUAAGCAAUGGAAAAAAGCUUCACGAAGAAACUCAACGACAUUGAUAUUGAGAGAAGGCUACUGCUAUCAGAAAACUGUAUAAAAGAUUUCCCGAGAGGCCAUGAAGCUUAUUUGAAGUUUAAAGACGAGGAUGGCCAAGUUUGGACAUUUCGUUGUAGAGUCCCACCAGGAGGGGGUUCGAAACCAGCCCUUUCUGGGGAUUGGUUUCUAUUUGUUCGCUCAAAGGAUCUCAAGGUCGGCGACGUAAUAGUAAUUGCCUUGGAUAGAGAGAAGGAUCAAGCUGCCGGAGAACAAUUCACAAUCAAGGUCAAGAAAACAACCUCAACAACUCGGAAAUAGUCGAUCGAGCUCUGCAUCGAGCCUCUUCGAUCAAACUAUAUAUAUUGAGCUUUUCUGGGCUGAUCAGUAAAGAUGAAACCAGUUCGAUGGGUGAUCAGUCUAUGACAGCAAAUCUUGACGACGGGAUCGGCCUUUAUAAGUAUAUAUCUGCAGCAUCAAGCAACCGCUUAUAUAUAGAGAGAGGGCUUCGACAUUGUAAUUCACUGUAAAGGGUUGAGAUCAUAUCGUUGUAUUUGGAGUGAGCUUUCGCUGUACAUUUCCCGUUUUCCGAAUACAAUUUUUCCUUUCAAUAUAAUUAAAGAGUUUCCGGCCAAUAUCUUUGCUUCUGGAUAGUGUUUAGAUUAAGCAUAGCAUCUGAUGAUCAACUUGGGGGUGACAGUAAGGCUUUGAAAGAACAUAAUUGAGGAUAUCCACAACUUGAAUUUGCAUACAAGUGACUCAGUUUGGGUUGCCGUCAGGCGGUGAUGCUGGGGGUUUCCCUAACUAGACUGUGGAGCUCGAUUGUCAACUUUAUAACCCUCAGAAUAAUAUCAUGAUUCAACUGGUCCAUGGGUUGUGAGCCAUUCCGCUAUUACAAUGAUUCAAUCCUCAUGGUAGAAUAGCGCCACUAAGGGUCUACCCAUUAAAGUAAUCAGGACAAUGAUUGGUUUGAUUUGGUUUGAAUUUUUUUUUUUUUAAAAAAAUUCAACUACAUUAAUUUAAAAAUUAAAAAUAAAUUAAUUAAUUAAACUGAAUUUAUUUAAAAAAAAAAACAUUUUCAUCCGUGGAUUUUAGUUGAUUUUUUAGAUAGACUUUGAUGUAAUUUUUAUUUUAAAAAAAUUAUUUUGAUAUUAACAUAUUAAAAUAAUUUAAAAAUAUAUAAGAAAAAGUAAUAAUUUCAAUUUAAAGUAAAAAAAUUAAAAAUUAAAAUUUUUCAAAAAUAAUUUCAAAACAUAAAAAUAAAAAAGUUAAAAAUAAAAUGAUUCAUGUGAAAACAGAUGGCCAGAUGGUUGGAGACAAUAUAAAAGAGAGAGAAACCACAAGUAUUCGAGACAAUGGGCAAGCUUAGAAAAUAGAGAACAAAGUUUCCAACAGGCUGGUAGAUGAUUCGACAAUGACUGGUCGUACGAUGAGCGUGGUGUUUUAUCGUCAGUGUAGAGUGGUCGGCUGGAUAAUCGAACGAUUUUAAAAAGCUCAUCGCCAUGACCAUCCUCAAGGCGGGCACGUGUUAGGCAGCCAUUGAUACUUGACAAAUUCGGAAUUGAAUUGACCGAUCCAUUAUGAACCUAUCUAACUGACGUGGAUCCCCUGGAGAGUGUGUUUGUCGGCAGUUAUAUCUUUUACCUUCGCCACGACAGUCUCCACUUUUAUCGAAAUAUAUUUUUUUACGCAAGCUAUCUUCACCUAGAAAGUACUUUUAUUAUAUAAAAUAUAUGAAAUUAUUAGAAUUAAUUAAUUAAUUUAUUGUUCAACUUGAAAAUUUUACUUUUAAGCAAAAACAUUAAAAAAAGCUAGCAUUUCUUUUUUUUUAUAACCUGAGUUGUCCAAACCCGUUUACAUAUUAAUUCUCAAAUUGACUAAAUACCCUACUUUUAAGCUCAAUAAACAAAUAAAACACCGUGAGAAUGACAGUUAUGUGCAAAGAGAAUCAAACCACGACCUCAGGUGCAAAAAAAAACUAGCAUUUCUUUCGAUCAUCGUCGGUCGUUUCUUUUGGUUUUAUUAAGGUUUGGACAGCAAGUAUUCAACAAGACCUAUGCACGUAUUAUUGUCAUGAAUAUUCCAAAAACAGGGACCGUGUGUAAUGUGGGCUUCAAUCCAUGUGAAUCGAACGAUUCUUAGUGAUUACAAAUAGCAUUGAGAAUUAAAGAAUAUUAUCUUAAUAAGUUCCAAUUUAUUCUAAAAAAAACUAUAGAGAUGUGACGAAAAGAUGUAUACAAAUUAGUUAUUUAUUGUUUGUAAGUAUUAUUGUAUUGCAAAGACAAAAAUAAGAUGCAACUCAUGGUGUAGGUUUUGACCUUAUAAAAAAUUCAAUUUAUUGGAUUGUUAAUCAUCCUGUGAGUUAUUGGAUUAAUUUUUUAAACAAAAUAAUGUUAUUUUUCUUAUAAAAAAAUUAGUUAUAACCUAGUUAGGUUUAAUAAAGAUAAAAUAUAAAAGGUUGUUAUAAGACAUGUAGCUAAUUAUCAUGAUGGAUAUAAGAAUGAAAAAUAUUAUCGAUAAAGAUUAUCGUAAUAUAUCAAUAAAAUUUUUUCAUUAGUUUUUUUAUUUGUAUUUGUCAGUUUUUUAAUAGUAGAUGAAAAAAAUAUAGCUAAUUUGGGAUUUAAUAUAUAUAUAUUAAGGAUAAAGUAUGUGUUUUUUGGCCUGAAAAUUUUUGUUUUGAGGUUUAAUAGGUACAAAACAUGAAAGAUUGUUGUAAGACAUGUUGAUAAUUAUCUCUAGCUAAUUUCUUUUGUUAUCAAUUCUCAGUCAAAUUCAUAGUCAAUAAGUAUAUUAUACAAUUAAAUUAAUAAGAUAUGAGAUACAAAGUGGCCGGCAGCUAAAGAUAAUGCCGGCCACUUUGUAUAUUAUAACAUUUGAAGCUAUAGAUAUGAGAUACUAUUUACCACCACAAAAUGUUCGGUGCGCCCCAAAUGUGUUGAAAAUCGGAAACGUCAAUCAAGUCGGCUCGUCGCUCUUUCAUCGGACGAGUUUGGUUUUGCUGAACACAACGAGCCAACAGAGGGCUUUGCUUUCUUGCCGGUAGAAUCGGGAGCAUUGGAUUUUUUAAUCUUAAGGCCGCCUGUUUCGACAAAAAGAAAUAAAAAAAAAACUGUCAUGUGCUUUUAAUUUUAUUGUAGUGCAGGCUCAGCUUAAAAAAUAUUCUUUUAAAAAAAUAAAUAAUUUUUACUAGAAAUGAUUGAACCUUGUUGAUAUAAUAAUUAUUGAAAAGAGCCAAUAAUCCAAGUAUUUUUGGGUUAAUCUUCAAGCCAGAUCUAGCAUUUAUGAUUUAAGAAAAUAUAUUUUUUUCUAGAUUAAAUAAAUACUUAAAAAUAUUUACAUGAAUUCCUCUUAAAUCACCAAAUAAUUUGUUAGAGAAUAAUAUAAAUUAUAUCAUGGGACCUCACCUAACUGUUUAAGCUAUUGGGUUGAGAUGAUUUUUUGACAUAGUAUCAGAGCCUUGAUGACCUAGUGAUCACCAUCUCCAUUUAUUUGAUAAAAAUUAAGCACAAGGUAAUGUGGGUUUGUGCAUAAAGAAUUAAAAGAACCAAUUGUGUAUUUUAGAAUUACACUUCUUUCUUGAUUAUUUGUUCUGUGUGUGUGUGUGUGUGUGUGUAGUUACAGUGACAACUUCUAAUGUAUAUAUUGAUGUGGCUGGCAACAGCUGUAGAUUUAAAUUCAUGGGAUCAUAUCUUCCAGCCAUUUAUCUACUGCUGCAUUCACUGUCUUGUAGUCUUUAUCUGCUGCUGCAUUCACGGAGGAUAAUUUGCUGCUGCUUCAAUCACGGGCGGAUCAGAGUCCUGAUCUUUAUCGGAUUGUUUGGUGUGAUCUUCUGCAGUUCCUGUUACUGAAUUCAUGGGUGGAUCAAUAUCUUCACCCUUAAAUUCAGUAACCAUUACUUGAUCUUCUACACGCCCCUUCAAUCUGGAGGGGUAGGUCACAAACAUUCAGAUUGCGUUGAACCUGUCUCAAUUUAACUGGUGGCAAAGGCUUGGUAAGUGCAUUGGCUAACUGAUCUUUGCUGGAGAUAAAUUGAACCACGAGUUCUUUGUUGUAAACUUGGUCGCGGACAAAAUGAACAUCAACCUCGAUGUGUUUGGUUCGUGCAUGAAAUUUAGGAUUGGACGUCAGGUAAGUUGCGCCAAUAUUAUCACACCACAAAGUGGGACUAUGUUGCGGGGGCAGACCGAGUUCAUGGAGUAUGGAUAUAUUUAAACCAAAUGAGUUAUGUAGCAGCAUUGGCAAUGGCUUUGUACUCAGCUUCUGUGCUGCUGCGUGCUACUGUAGGUUGUUGUUUGCAACUCCAAGAAAUUAAGUUGGAACCCAUGUAAAUACAGUAAGCACCAACUGAUCUGUGAUCAUCUCUGUUGGCGGCCCAAUCAGAAUCGAAGAAUGCUUGCAAGGUGAAAUUAACAGUUUUGGUGAUGAACAGAGCUGUUAAGAUGGAGUGCUUGAGGUAGCGGAGGAUACGUUUGACAGCCAGCCAAUGAGUGUCCAGAGGAUUGUGCAUAAAUUUGCUAACUUUAUGAACAACAAACGCUAUAUCAAGUCUCGUGAAAGCCAAAUAUUGCAUACUACCUACUAUACUACGAUAAAGGUGGAUGUCUUCAAAUGGAGUACCAUCAGUAGAAGUAAGUCGACAAUUAGAGGCCAUUUGACUGGUGCAUGGCUUAGCAUUCUCCAUCUUGCUUCUUUUAAACAAAUCAACAAUAUAUUUGCGUUGAGUUAAGUAGAUACCAUAUGUGCACCAAAGUGCUUCAACACCAAGAAAAUAAGCAAGACUGCCUAAAUCUUUGACAACAAAGGUGGUUUGUAGAGAAUGAAUGAUAUUAUCGAUGACAGAUGCACUUGAGCCAGUAAUUAAUAUAUCAUCAACAUGGAUAAGAAUGUAGAUCAUCGAAUUAAAUUUCUGAAGCACGAAGAGAGAUGUAUCUACCUUACUUUCACUGAACCCCAGGGACAGAAGUUUGGUUGAAAGUUUGGAGAACCAAGAGCGGGGAGCUUGGCGUAAACCAUAAAGGGAUUUGUGCAGUUUGCACACAUGGUUGGGAUACUGAGGAUGAACAUAGCCUUGUGGUUGAAUCAUAAACACAUUUUCAUGCAAAUCACCGUGCAAGAAAGCAUUUUGCACAUCCAACUAUUUGAUAGGUCACUUAUAUGUUAUUGCAAUAGAGAUGACUAACCGAAUGGUGGCAUGUUUGAUGACUAGGCUGAAUGUUUCAGAGAUAUCAACCCCCUCCUACUGAUGAAAUCCUUUAGCUACUAAGCAAGCCUUAUAUCGCUCAAUAGCUCCAUCUGCCUUUCUUUUGAUUUUGUAAAUCCAUCGGCAUCCAACAAUAUUUGCAUAUGUGGGAGUGACACCAAGGACCAGGUGCCAUUAUGAAUUAAUACUAAGAAUUCUUGAUUCAUGACCUCUCGCCGAUGCAUAAAUUUGGAGGCUUGACUAUAUGAUGUUGGUUUUGUUUUUGUGGGAACAAGUGCUGCUGUUAAGGCUUUUGGUAAUGGAUAACAAAUGAAGUCAUCACUUGACUGUAUAGGGCGAUGAAUAUUAUUUUUGGAUCUUGUGACCAUAGAAUGAUUGUUGGUAGGAACGGGCAGAGGAUCAAUAUGUGAAACUUGAGCAGUAGCUGGAGAAACAAUGGAAGGCAGAGCUGGUUCUGUUUCUGUAGAGUGUGCUAGAGGCGAAGCCUGAGCAUCUGUUUCUGCAGGAAUCAACAUAAGAGGUGCAAGUGGUGUGCAUGUAGGAAUAUGGUUAGGAUGCAACUCAUUGGGACAUGGGAAUUGUGGCAUAGUGAUCUGAUGAGGAAGAGACACAAACAUGUGUUGCUACCCAUUUUUUGACCCAUAUUUUGAUAAAUUUUCAAAUAAAAAAUAAAAUAAAUAAAUAAUAAUAAUAAUAAUAAUAAUAAUAAUAAUAAGAGUUUACAUGUGGCGAUAACAUAGAGCAUCAGGGUUAAGGAAGCAAAUAUGUCAAGGAGAUAAUUACUUAAUCAUAUAUAAUUACUGCAAUAUAAAAUACCAUAGAUAUAUGAUUUGAUUCGUGCUGGUUAGGGAAAAUAACCACUGCAAUAUAAGAUACCAUAUAUAUAGGAUUUGUUGGUGAUGGUUAUAGAAGACAAUCUCUGCAAUAAUUAUUGCAAUAUUUCCUUAAAUAACACGUAGAGAUUUUCUAUAUAAGUGAACCUUCAGCUAUAUACACAAGGGGGCAGAAAAAUUUACAAAAAAGAAGAGCAAUUUUAAGACAAAAAAAUUAAGGCUUCCACAAAACCCGAAACCCAUCUUUUUUUUAGUCAACUGGCUGCACACCCUCCUUUGAAAAAAAAGAGCCGCCGCCCAAGGAAGCUCUUCCUUCUCCUUUCAGCCGACCAGAGCUCCCCUUCAUUUUUUUCCCUGCCAUCAACACAGACCCACAGACACCCGAUCACGGCACCAACACUCCCUUCUCCCUGAUUCCAGCCUUUUCCCUUUGGCCUUUCUUCUUCCCCUCAGCCGACCAAAAAGCACACAAGCCUCUUUUCUCCCUCUCAGCCGUCCCUAUCUUCCCCCACAGACCUAUAACCCCAGGACAGAUUUGCCUCUCUUCCCCGAUCAUUUCCUUCAUCUCCUCCUUCCAGCAGCGGUUUCUCCGCCUCGACACAGCCAAGACAGCCCCCCUCAUCUCUCUCCGAAACCCGAGUAGACCCACCUCCUCCAGCUGUCGCUCUACUUCUCAAAGCCACAGCUGAUUCCCCAUUCUCUCCUGAACAACCCGAAACCAACCCCCAACAGCCAACAGAUCAUCUCUCUCCAGAACCCAAGCCAUCCUUCCCAUUCAACCAGCAGCUGGCCACAGACCCAACCAUCGUUGCUACCAACAGGGUUGAAGACCAUCAACGCCUUGACCACCACUGCAACUCCCUCUACAACCGCAAGGUCUUUCCAUCGAAAGAGGAAAGAACAACAAACCAGAGCAGAAAAACAGACCCGAGAACAAAUCCGGAAAGGAGAAAAGAAAAUUAAAAUCGACUGCUUGUUGUGUUUCUUCUUUUGCAGAUAACGAUGGUUGUCACUGCCGGCGAGGACAGUGAGGAAGGGAGGAAGACGUUGCAGAUCUCCCCUGUAAUUGUUUUUCCGGCGGCGCGUGAAUCCACGCGCCGCCACUUUUCUUGCAUUGCCAGAACCCUUCCCAGCAGUUUCCUGGAUUUUUAGGGACUAUUAUGUAAUUUUUUAUUUGUGUGAUGUGAUGUGAUGUUUGUUUUAUUUUAAAUUUGUGUUAUUUGUAGUUAUAUAUGGAUGUAUAAAAAAUAUAAAAAUAAAAAGGGAUGUGUGUGUGUUUGUAUUUUUUUUUAUGUAUGUUAUUGAAUUAUAAAAUUAAAAAGAUAGAAAAAAUAAAUUUAAUGUUUUAAUUUGUAUAUACAAAUAAAAUCAUGUUGUAUUUCCCGGGAAAAUAUAAGAACAUGUUUCUAUAUACUUUUUGGGAUUUAAUAACUGAUUUAUUAAAGCCUUAAGAAUUUGACUAAUAUGUGGUUUUUUUAACUUUAAUUGUGAUUGAAUGUAAUGUUUGUGUUUUUGACAAAGAAAAAUAUAAAAAAUGUUUUUGUGUGUUGCAUACGGCCAAUACCCUAACAUGUUUUGAACGUUUUUUUUUAAAAAAAAUAUUGGAAGUUUUAAAAAUAUAUUUUCGCAUGGAUUUCUUAAACACAACAAAAAUUAUUUUCUUGCAUUUCUGGAUUUUACAACAUGUUUGUAAGACUCCAAAGGGUAUUGGUCAAUAUUCCAAAAAUACAAAAAUCUUAUUUUGGGGGGAAUUCACCGUUAAUGUUUGGAUAAAGAAAUCAUAAAAGGAUGAAUAUCCAAAAUAUUAUUAGGAAUAACUUGUUAUUAUUCACCGUUAAUGUUUGGAUAAAGAAAUUCCAAAGGGAUGAAUAUCCAAAAUAUUAUUGGGAAUAACUUGUUAUUAUUCGCUGUUAAUCUUUGGAUAAAGAAACCCUAAGUGGUAAAUAUCCAAAAUAAUUUUCUAGGAAUAAUAAGUCAUCAUACAUCUUUGAAAGAAGCCUCGAUUAGAAUCGAGGACAUUUUAAUUUUUGACUCCACGGUUUACGAGCCGUGAGUAUGAAACACUAAGGCAAAAGGAUGCUUUUAAAGCGCUUAGAAUUUCCUUAGAUUUCUGAAUCUUUGUCCCUCCUCUUAGCGAUUUACGAGUCGCAAACUCUUGCAAUACCAAGGGGAAAAUGAGCUUUUAAAGCACAUGAAAUCUUCUUGGAUUUCUAUCUUAAUAAAUUUAGUCUGAAUCAAACACAGAUUUCAAGAGAUCUGCAUUGGUUCCCCUUGGUACUUUGUAGACAUAUCUAAGGGUAUGAUCCACAUUGACCAAGGGUUAUUUCUUUUUAAACUUUCUGCCCAAAUCCAUUCAUUAUAGCAAAAUGUAUCCUAGAAAAACACCAACACCAUAGCAAUUAUAAAGCAAACCAAGCACCAAGCAGCUUACCUUAGGUAGGGCGUACUAGGGUGCUAAUACCUUCCCUUUACGCAACCAGUCCCUUGCCUUAGAAUCUCUGAAAGACCAGUCAGGUUUUCUAGUGACCAAAAUACUAGGUGGCGACUCCUUUAUUCACAAAAACAAAUAAACCUGAAAACAAAUGAAAAAUCGCCAUUGGACGCCGCGCGGGGACGUGCGACACAUGGAAGGAGAAAGUUUAUCACUCACGGAGACAGUGGUUUGUGAGUAGAGGAAAAAGGUUUCAUCGAAUAUAACAUUGUGAGAAACAUAGAUUUUACCCGUAGAGAGAUCUAGACAUUUGUACCCUUGAUGACAAAGACUAUAACCAAUGAAAAUGCAGGUUUUUGAUCUGAAAUUGAGUUUAUUCCUAUUAUAUGGUCUUAAGUUUGGCCAGCAGGCACAUCCAAACACACGCAGAAAACGAUAAUCAGGGAUCCUAUUAUAAAGUAUUUCAAAGGGGGAUCUGCGGUUUAAAACAGGUGUUGGAAGUCUGUUUAUGAUAUAGGUAUCGGUUUGAAAAGCAUCUUCCUAAUAUAUCAUAGGUAAUUGAGAAUGAGCUAACAAGCUCAAACCAACUUCGACAAUGUGUCGAUGUUUGCAUUCAAUAGAUCCAUUUUGUUGGUGAGUGUGCGGGCAAGCUAGGCGAUGAUUAAUACCAUUUUGGUGAAAAUAAGUGUUUAGUCAUCAAUACUCCCCACCCCAGUCUGAUUGAAUUGCUUUUAUUUUCCUGUCAAACUGUUUUUCAACAUAUAUUUGAAAAUUUAAAAAGACAUGUUCAACAUUAGAUUCAAGUUGAAUAGGAAAUAACCAAAGAAACUUGGAAUAAUCAUCAAGAAAGCUAACAAAAUGUUUAGCACCGGUUUUGGAAGGCAUUGAUGCAGGUCCCCACACAUCGGUGAAAAUUAAAUCCAAAGGGUGCAACGAAAUAGAAGUAGAAGUUUUAAAAGGCAAAUCAUGGCUUUUUGCCAUUUGACAUUCAGGGCACAUAUUGUGUGUUUUAUUUUUCUCUAAGGGAAAAGAAAGGAGGGAUAACACUUGAUUGACCAUUGGAGUAGAGGCAUGGCCAAGUCUACGAUGCCACUCAUAGGAACGAACACAAGAAAAGGCUUGAGGAAGACUGGAAUUAUUGGUGAAUUGAUAGAGUCUAUUAUGGAGAUAGCCUCGAUGAAGGACAUUCCUUGAGAUAACACUUGAUUGACCAUUGGAGUAGAGGCAUGGCCAAGUCUACGAUGCCACUCAUAGGAACGAACACAAGAAAAGGCUUGAGGAAGACUGGAAUUAUUGGUGAAUUGAUAGAGUCUAUUAUGGAGAUAGCCUCGAUGAAGGACAUUCCUUGAGUAAUCCUUCACAAGAAAAUAAUACGAGUGAAACUUAAAAUACACGUUAUUGUCAACACAGAAUUGGUGCACUAAUAGUACAUUUUUAUGUAUUUCAGGAACAAGAAGAACGUUAUUAAGAACAAAGGUAGAAGAGGGAGUGGAAAUUUUGGAGGUCCCGAUUUUUGAGAUUUGCAAACCUUGGCCAUUUCCAACUUGAACAUUGUCUGCACCAACAUAGUCGGAUUUCUGAAGAUUCAAAGUGUUAGCAUCAUUGGUAAAAUGAUGUGUGGCUCCUGUAUCUGCAUGCCAUGCAGAGUCCCAUGUAUUGUUUGAACUGUUAUGCAUAGCGACCAGACCGUGUUUUGUUGGUAAUGGAGGUGUUUCCUGGUAAGAUAAAUCAAAACGAAAAUAACAUUUCUUAGCAGUGUCCGAUCUUACCACAUAUCUGGCAAACAACAGAUGGUUGAUCAUGAUUCUUACUACUGGAAUUAUAACCACCGCGAUUAGCACGCCCCCUGUCAUGAAAACCACCAUGCUUUGGAAGAAUGGAUUGUCAAUAGGCAAUAUUGGCAGAAGGUUGCUAAAUGAUAGAGGUGAGUUGAUGCCGUGACAGGCGCGCUUCAGAAGUCAGUAAUAGAGAAUAAAUUUCCUCAAGUGUAAUGUCAUCAGUACGUGCGGAUAUGGAGACUACAAAGCUGUCAUAUUCAUGGCUGAGUCCUGCAAGAAUAUAUGUUAUAAUAUCAUUAUGAUUCAGUGGUUGUCCAGCAACGACCAAUUCAUCAGUGAGUCUUUUGAUGUAAUGGAAGUAAUCAGUGGCUGUCUUGCUUCCUUUUGUUGCAGUUGCAGUUGCAAGUUGUGUGCCGAUUUGUAGAAUGCGCGCACGAGACCGAGAGGAGAAGGUAUCAUCCAACGCAUUCCAUACAACCUUGGAAGAUGUAUAAGUGACAACUGGAGCAAGUAUUGGCUCUAACAGAAAAGUCAUGAGAGUGCUGAGAAUAAGAUUAUCUUGACGAACUCAUUGAGAGUAGGAUGGGUUUAGACAUUUAGAGACAACAAAAGUUUCAGGGUGAGUAACAGAGAUGAUUUUAGGUGGUUUGGGAAUGCUACCAUCUAUAUAACCAAAGAGAUAUUGGCCUCUGAAAUAUGGUAUAAGCUGUGCUUUCCAGAGAAGGAAGUUGUCAUGGUUGAGUUUGAUAAUAGCAACAAAAGGCAUGGAGAUGACAGAAGAGUGGGGUGGAGUUGCAGGAGAAUUUGAGGAAAACAUUUAGACGUUAGUCUUUUUAUGGCUCUGAUACCAUAAAGAAUUAAAAGAACCAAUUGUGUAUUUUAGAAUUACACUUCUUUCUUGAUUAUUUGUUAUGUAUAUAUAUAUAAUGUUACAAUGACAACUUCUAACGUAUAUAUUGAUGUGGCUGGCAACAGCUGUAGAUUUAAAUUCAUGGGAUCAUAUCUUCCAGCCAUUUAUCUGCUGCUGCAUUCAUUGUCUUGUAGUCUUUAUCUGCUGCUGCAUUCACGGAGGCUAAUUUGCUGCUGCUUCAAUCACGGGCGGAUCAGAGUCCUGAUCUUCAUAGGAUUGUUUGGUGUGAUCUUCUGCAAUUCCUGUUACUGCAUUCACGGGUGGAUCAGUAUCUUCACCCUUGAAUUCAGUAACCAUUACUUGAUUUUCUACAGUGCAAGUUUUAAGUUGAAAAGAGCUUUCACUUAAGGGAAUGUGUUAGAAAAUAGUAUAAAUCAUAUCUUGAGACCUCGCCUAACAGCUUAAGUUAGUUUUCACUUGAUAGGGUAUAUUAUAAAAUUUACCCAUUGAGUUUGUUGUCUGCUCAAAAAUAUUUAUAUAUAAAAAAAACAAUUACAUGUUGCAGCCAUGUUUUCACAUGUCCUACGUAAAGUUCGAACAUUGUAAAGACAAAAACAACAUGCGACUCAUGUGUGGUUUAUCAUCAUAUCAUCACCUAUGAUUGAGACAUGAUCCAUCAGCUAUUUACCGAAGACUAAAGAGAUGUGAAUAUGAUGGCUUUAAAGUGGCGUGCUUCUCUGAAGAGUAUAUUAUAAAAUUUACCCAUUGAGUUUGUUGUCUGCUCAAAAAUAUUUAUAUAUAAAAAAAACAAUUACAUGUUGCAGCCAUGUUUUCACAUGUCCUACGUAAAGUUCGAACAUUGAAAUGGUCAUAGACAAUAAUAACCUGUUUUUAAGUAUAGCAAAAAUUGUUUUUUAAAAAAUAUAUUAAAACGUUUUAAAAAUACUUAAAAAAUACUUAAAUUUUUUUUAUAAAAAAACUGAUUCGUUAACAAUAAAACUAAAUGUGUGUUUGGAAGUAUGGUAGCAAUAUGUUUUCAAAGUGAUUUUUAUUUAAAAAUAUAUUAAAAUAAUUUUUUUAUUUUAAAAAAAUUAUUCUGACAUCAGUAUAUUAAAAUAACAUAAAAACAUUAAAAAGAAUAAUUUCAAAGUAAAAAAUAAUUUUUUAAAAUUUAAAAAAAAUUAAAACACAAAAACAAAACAAGUCAAAAAUAAAACGAUUCAUGUGAAAAUAGAUGACCAGAUGAUUGUACACAUAGAGAGAAACCACAAGUAUUCGAGACAAAUAGCAAGCUUAGAAGACAGAGAACAAAAUUUCCAACAGGCUGGUAGAUGAUUCGACGAUGACUGGUCGUACGAUGAGCUUGGUGGUUUAUUGUCAGCAUACGAGUGGUCGGCUGGAUAAUCGAACGAUUUUAAAAACUUUCAUCGCCAUGACCAUCUUCAAGGUGGGCACGUGUUAGGCAGCCAUUGAUACUUGACAAAUUGACCGAUCCAUUGUGAACCUAUCUCACUGACGUGGAUCCCCCUGGAGAGUGUGUUUGUCUGAUGUGGUUAACCGCAUUUCAAAUUAUGAUCGGCAGUUUUAUAUUUUACCUUUUUCACAUGGAUAUUUUAUAAGUUAUUAAGUAAAGGUUGAAUGCCUGGCAGUGUUAGUACGAAUUUAUUAAUUAAUUAUUCAAUUGAGAGUUUUAUUUCUAAAUUAAUUGAUUUUUUAGGAUUUUAUAAGUUGCUAUUAUGACCUAUAUAAAAUGCUCGUGUGUAAUGUGGGGUUCAAUCCAUGUGAAUCGCUCGACUUGUACAUAUCUUUCUUAUUGAUUACAAAUAGAAUUGAGAAUUAAAGAAUAUUAUCAUACGUUCCAAUUUAUUCUGCAAAAACUACAAAUUAGUUACUUAUUGUUUGUAAGUGUUAUUUUAUUGCAAAGACAAAAAAUAAGAUGCAACUCAUGUGACAAAAAGGUGUAGGUUUUGACCUUAUAAAAAAAUCCAAUUUAUUGAAUUGUUGGUGUGAGUUAUUGGGUUAAGAAAUUGGUUCUGAUCUUAUUAGGUUUAAAAAAUCCAAGGGUUGCUGCUCAUGUGUGUUGAUUUUUCUUGGUGGACGAAUUUAAUGGAAAAAAAAAAACUUAAAGUACCACUAAUUUUUCAAGAGAAGCAUGUAACCUUCAAUAACACUCAAAGGUUGCCGGCCCCAUAUGUAUCAAUUUGUCGGGUGGGGUGGAGUCAUGAAAUUAUGUGUACCAUUCACACCUAGAAAUAUAAUAUUAGAAACUUUAAACCUUAUUGAUUAUCAAUAACUCUAUGGGAAAUUUAAUUUUAAAAUAGAUAUUUGUAAAAUUAAGUAUUGGGAAGUUUGUUUGAAAUUACAAAAACCUUAUAGAAAGUAAAUAUAAAUAAAUUUAUUAAAUUCAGUGGAGUCCAUGAUCAGGAUCAUGAGUUCAACAGAUUAAGUCAUGAAGCCCUAAUCGAUCAAAUAUGUUGUUGUCUCAAUAAAAAAAAUACAUCUUAAAAAAAUUAAGUUAGAUCAUGUUUCUACCUAUUAUGUGGGCUAUUUUUAGAUUCGUCAAGUUAACUAUAUUAUAUUGUGACAAUUCCCAUACAAUUUAAUUUGAAAUUUGAGCUGGACAAGAAAUCAGGUCAAGAGAUUUUAAAAUUGAUUUGUUGGAUCAGAUUGAAUAACAAUAAUAAAAAUUUAAAUAUUUUUUAUCAAAAAAAUCUUUAAUCUGACUAGUAUAAUGCAGUAUAAUAAAAUAAAUAGAUAAAAGAUUGUUUUAGGACAUUUUGCUAAUUUCUUUUCUUAUCUAAUCAGUCAAGCUCAUAGUGAAUAAGUAUAUACAAUUAAAUUAAAUAACACAUAAGAGAAAAAUUAAUGGCCGAAAGCUAGAGAUAAGGGGUGAUGCGACGUGGAGCCACUAGUCGAUAGUAAACGUCAGUUUGUUGGUUCGUCGUUCGUUUCUCGGGCGAGUGUGGUUGUGCUAAACGCAAUGAACCAAUAGCGUGCUUUGCUUUCUUACUUGGAGAAACUGGAGCAUUGGAUUUAUUAAUCUUUAGGUUGUCUGUUUCUAGAAAAGAAAGAAAGAAAUAUUUAUAUUAUCAAUGCAAUGCAAUGACUAAAUAACAUUUAAAUAUUAUCUACGUUUUUUUAUUGAUUGUUUGAGUUUUGAAAUUAUAUUUGUGAACCCAUUUAUCUGGGAAAAAAAAUUUAUUGGGUAAUUGGACGAAUCCUUGAAGGUCAUCAUAUCUGGAGAGAAUGGAGAUAAAACAUAAAUAAAAAAAAAAAAAAACCUUUUAAAGGGAAACGGACCCACCAUCAAUUAUUGUUAUUCGAUAAUUUAUAAAUAGAGUGAAGAGAAUGCUGCUAGCUGCACUUUUAUCAGCAACUCAAGUAGUAAGAAUCUCCCAUGUCUGUCAACAUGCCAAAACACCUAUUCGAAAAGAAACUCUCAAAAACAGACAUUGAAAAUAGAAUGUCAGUUCCGAUGAAAAGCCUCGACGCUUUCCGAAUCCCAAAAGGAGAACACUCUAAAGACUUUGGUGUCACUGACAUCCAUGGCAAGAGGUGGAGGUUCCGAUAUUCUACAAGAAAAAGUGACCGCCAUCCUAAACCAGUCCUGUCUUCAGGUUGGAUAGAGUUCGCCAAAAAACGGGGUCUCAAAGUAGGUGAUGAAGUCACCUUCUCUGUGGUGGGCAUGAAGGGAGCUGAGGAUCUGGAAUUGGGAAUUCAAGCUCGGAAAAAAAUCAAGUUAUUCGGCGAAGUUUUUUGGAGUAAUCCUCUGUGAAGAAGAAGAAGAAGCUACUCCUCGAAUAAAAUAUAGGUGUUGAUCGAUGUAGCUUUAUCUUCUACCUUACUUCUAGUAUCACUUCUUUCUUUCUUGCUUGUUUUUUCUUUUUUUCUCCUGGGAAGGAGGGCUAGCUAGCUUGGGGGGUGUUUGAUGCUAGCUGUUUCUUAAAAUGUCUAUCCUAGAACUUCGAAUCAUGUGAGUAAAAGAGUGAGUCUUCUUUACCUUGCAUGGUUUUUCUUGUAACCAAAUAUAUAUAAAUAUAUAUAAUAUAUCUCUUAUUAUUUUGUUUUUCCAUUGGUUUCAUGAAAUUCUCUCAACAAUUGAACAAAAAACACUACAUCAUAGCUCACAAACAUAUAUUUUAUAAGUCAAUUAAACCUCUUGUUUUUCUUAUGCUUCUUGUUUGUUGUAAUCUCUGCAAGGUGACAGCCGACAGAGAAAUCUGUUGAUAGGUCCAAUUCUGCUUUAUGUUUUGUUUCUUGCCGAGCAAAUAAAGGUCAUGGGUAUCUCUUUCUUUCGUUUUUUCCCUUAUAAAAUUGGUCAUGCGGCCACAGACAGUUGCAGAAAAAGUACUUAUCACUUAUUUGGUAAGUGCACGUACUUAUCAGCAUAGUUAUAGACCCAACCCGGGGUUGAUCUGGACAAUGAACUAGGUUUCGGGUUACACCAGUUGACCCAGAUUAACCCAAAUCAAUCUGAAAAAUAAAAAAAAAUAUUUAAAAUUUUAAUAAUUCAUAUUAAAAAAAUCUGAGAUCUAGCCCACUUUUUGUUUCUUUUUUUCUUUCUUUAUUUGUGUUUUUUCUAGAUCAUGUGAUAGGCUCACUAAUGCUUUCUCUAUCUUGGGGAUGUGGACCUACUUUCUGUUAACCAACUUUGAUUUUAUGGUGCCAGUCACUCCCUCCUAUCCAACAUUCAAACCAUUUUUUUUAUUUAACUGUUCAUAUCAUUUUGUUAGAUUUUUUUUAUACAAUUAGAAUUCAUGGUAAAGCAUUCUUGAUUUUAUUUUUAUUUUUUUCCAAACAUCUCACGAUAUACAACCUAUUCAUGAGGUGGAAUUCAUGUCUAACAUUGCCUAAUCAUGCAUGGAUAUCAUGAAUUAUCUAUAUAUUAUGUAUUUUAUAAUAUGGUUAAUCUUGUUUUUUAAAAUAUUUUUUAUUAUAGAAAACAUUAAACUAAUAUUUCUUUUAUAUGUCUUUGAAAAUGUCUUGAUAGGUCUAUGCCCGUAUAAAUUUAAAAAAAGUUAUUUAAAUGUAUUUUUAAUUAAAAAGUAUUUUUAAAAACAACUUUUAGUGAAUGCCAAUCUCUUCAGUGAGUGUGUGAGUUUGUGUGGAGAGAGACAACUUUGAGUGGAGUCCAAGAACUCGUCAGAUGAUCGUGCGAUACGUACGAAGAAAUGAUAGUGAUGUUAGAUGAUCUUGCAGAAACAUUGGACCUUUAAUCAUGCUUUCUUUUUUGGACCUUUAAAAUAACCAAUCAAACGAAUGUUGAUUAUUUCUUUUUCUUUUAUUUUUAUUUCGAUCACAAUUCACAAUCAGACAGAAAGAUGAACAUACGAUGACAUGAUUCUGGCUUUUCUUUCUGUCUGUGGACCCACCACGACCCACCACUCACUUAUUAGAACAAGGACCUUAACGCUCGAUUCCUUUUCACAGUUUUGUAGGCUGCGGCACUACAUAAAUCAUUAAAUCCUCUUGCCAAGGGGCAAGUUGCCUCAUCAAUUGGUCAUCUACUUCUUCCAAUAAGCAAUGGAAAAAAACUUCACGAAGAAACUCAACGACAUUGAUAUUGAGAGAAGGCUACUUCUAUCAGAAAACUGUAUAAAAGAUUUCCCGAGAGGCCAUGAAGCUUAUUUGAAGUUUAAAGACGAGGAUGGCCAAGUUUGGACAUUUCGUUGUAGAGUCCCACCAGGAGGGGGUUCGAAACCAGCCCUUUCUGGUGAUUGGUUUCUAUUUGUUCGCUCAAAGCAUCUCAAGGUCGGCGACGUAAUAGUAAUUGCCUUGGAUAGAGAGAAGGAUCAAGCUGCCGGAGAACAAUUCACAAUCAAGGUCAAGAAAACAACCUCAACAACUCGGAACUAGUUGAUCGAGCUCUGCAUCGACCCUCUACGAUCAAACUAUAUAUAUUGAGCUUUUCUGGGCUGAUCAGUAAAGAUGAAACCAGUUCGAUGGGUGAGUCUAUGACAGCAAAUCUUGAGGACGGGAUCGGCCUUUAUAAGUAUAUAUCUGCAGCAUCAAGCAACCGCUUAUAUAUAGAGAGAGGGCUUCGACAUUGUAAUUCACUGUAAAGGGUUGAGAUCAUAUCGUUGUAUUUGGAGUGAGCUUUCGCUGUACAUUUCCCGUUUUCCGAAUACAAUUUUUCCUUUCAAUAUAAUUAAAGAGUUUCCGG
rnacentral:lncRNA from 1 species